GAUGAACGCUGGCGGCGUGCCUAAUACAUGCAAGUCGAGCGAACAGACGAGGAGCUUGCUCCUCUUACGUUAGCGGCGGACGGGUGAGUAACACGUGGAUAACCUACCUAUAAGACUGGGAUAACAUCGGGAAACCGGAGCUAAUACCGGAUAAUAUAUUGAACCGCAUGGUUCAAUAGUGAAAGACGGGUUUGCUGUCCCUUAUAGAUGGAUCCGCGCCGCAUUAGCUAGUUGGUAAGGUAACGGCUUACCAAGGCAACGAUGCGUAGCCGACCUGAGAGGGUGAUCGGCCACACGGGAACUGAGACACGGUCCAGACUCCUACGGGAGGGAGCAGUAGGGAAUCUUACGCAAUGGGCGAAAGCUUGACGGAGCAAGGCCGCGUGAGUGAUGAAGGUCUUCGGAUCGUAAAGCUCUGUUAUUAGGGAAGAACAAAUGUGUAAGUAACUAUGCACGUAUUGACGGUACCUAAACAGAAAGCCACGGCUAACUACGUG
rnacentral:rRNA from 1 species